CUCUCUAGUGACCGAUAGUGAACCAGUACCGUGAGGGAAAGGUGAAAAGCACCCCGGAAGGGGAGUGAAAUAGAACCUGAAACCGUGUGCUUACAAGUAGUCAGAGCCCGUUAAUGGGUGAUGGCGUGCCUUUUGUAGAAUGAACCGGCGAGUUACGAUUUGAUGCAAGGUUAAGCAGUAAAUGUGGAGCCGUAGCGAAAGCGAGUCUGAAUAGGGCGUUUAGUAUUUGGUCGUAGACCCGAAACCAGGUGAUCUACCCUUGGUCAGGUUGAAGUUCAGGUAACACUGAAUGGAGGACCGAACCCCCUUACGUU
rnacentral:rRNA from 1 species